rnacentral:rRNA from 1 species
GAUGAACGCUGGCGGCGUGCCUAAUACAUGCAAGUCGAGCGAGAAUUUUUCAAAUGACACUUCGGUCGAUUUUGGGAAAGGACAGCGGCGGACGGGUGAGUAACGCGUAGGCAACCUGCCCCUGACAGAGGGAUAGCCAUUGGAAACGAUGAUUAAAACCUCAUAACGCCGAAGGAACACAUGUUUCAUCGGCCAAAGAUUUAUCGGUCAGGGAUGGGCCUGCGUCUGAUUAACUAGUUGGUGAGGUAACGGCCCACCAAGGUGACGAUCAGUAGCCGACCUGAGAGGGUGAUCGGCCACAUUGGAACUGAGACACGGUCCAAACUUCUACGGAAGGCAGCAGUAGGGAAUCUUGCACAAUGGGCGAAAGCCUGAUGCAGCAACGCCGCGUGAAGGAUGAAGGCCUUCGGGUUGUAAACUUCUGUUCUUAGGAAAGAAGAAAGUGACGGUACCUAAGGAGAAAGCCCCGGCUAACUACGUGCCAGCAGCCGCGGUAAUACGUAGGGGGCAAGCGUUAUCCGGAAUUAUUGGGCGUAAAGAGUGCGUAGGUGGUUAUCUAAGCGUAAGGUUUAAGCGUGCAGCUCAACUGCAUCUCGCCUUGCGAACUGGACUACUUGAGUGCAGGAGGGGAAAGCGGAAUUCCUAGUGUAGCGGUGAAAUGCGUAGAUAUUAGGAGGAACACCAGCGGCGAAGGCGGCUUUCUGGACUGUAACUGACACUGAGGCACGAAAGCGUGGGGAGCAAACAGGAUUAGAUACCCUGGUAGUCCACGCCGUAA